rnacentral:lncRNA from 1 species
AGGCAUUUGCUUCAGGUGAGCAGAGGGAUGACUUUCUGUCCCACAUCUGUGAAGAUCAGCUGUUGGUUUACAUUGCCAGGGUGAAAUUCAACAGAACUAAUUUAGGGUGAAGAUCUUGAGGCCCACAAGGAAUUUCCUUGUGGGAAAAUUGUGAGGAAGAGCAAUCACUGCACCCAGCCACCUCUAUAUACAUGUACACAAAGCCACACAGUUUACACAGUCACAGGUAUUUAAGUACACACUAUUCACACACAAAUACAUAUAUAGACACACAUGUACAGUCCGUCCAAAAUAUAUGUACAUAAAAGCACACUAUUACACCUUCAUAUGUGCACACACACACACACCCAGACUCACUUCAUACACACAUAGAUACAACAGCCACAGCUCCCCAUCACCUACACACACACACACACACCUGGACACCCAGCUCUAAUAUAAUCAGAUAGAGAUAUGCAUGCAGACAAAUUUGCCUGUAUAGUCAAACACAUAGGCAAAUAGAGAACGAGACACCACAUGAACAAAGGCAAACCUACACACAAAGACACAGAGCACACUUACGCAUAUAUCUAUAGACCCACCAUGGCACAUAUGGGUAAGUGCACACAGGCAAACUCACACACACGAGCAUGCACAGGCAGAGAACACAAAUGUACACUCCCAGGUGUCAUAAAGAACAGCCCAGCUUCGGCUUGGGAACGUCACAUCAGACAAUAGGAACGGCUGCACCGCGCGUUUCCUCGGCUGCCAGCUUCCCAGCCACAGAGGAUGCCUCACCUGCUAUGUCAGCUCCCCUCUGCCCCACCUCACAAGAAGCUCAGAAGCUGAGGAGUCACAGAGAGACCUCCCUACUGUGUCAGAGGUACAGCUUGAGCAAAGACACAGAAGCAGAAGGCAGGUUUUUGGUUCCAUGAACUCUACAUCUGGCUACAUACAAAUGGUGAAGAGGAACAGGGAGAAACAUGGUUGAAAAGAACAGGCUUGGACUUCAGGAAGCAGUAAAAUGAGCGAAUGCCAUUUAUGGUUACAAAGAUAACUCAGCUGGGGGCCAAACAGAGACUGAAAUGGAGUGGGUGAGGAUGGAGGCCGGGAGGAGAUGGCUGCAGAGGUCCCAGCAAUGACAGUGGUUGUGGGAAGGGGCAACCCCAAGUCUUGUGCUCCCAACUGCAAAUCCAGUGCUUUUUCUAAAAAAAUAUUUAAAUAAUUUAUUUAUUUUUGAGAUGGAGUCUCGCUCUGUCACCCAGGCUGGAGUGCAGUGACACAAUGUCGGCUCGUGCAACCUCUGCCCCCCGGGUUCAAGCGAUUCUCCUGCCUCAGCCUCCCAAGUAGCUGGGAUUACAGACGCACGCCUCCACGCCUGGCUAAUUUUUUAUAUUUUUGGUAGAGAUGGGGUUUCACCAUGUUGCCCAGGCUGGUCUCGAACUCCUGACUUCAAGUGAUCCACCCACCUCGGCCUCCCAAAGUACUAGGAUGACAGGCGUGAGCCACUGUGCCCAGCCUUAUUUUUUUUUUUAAUUUAUAUUUUCAGAGGCAAACGAUCCUUGCUCAUUAAAAAAAGGAAAUAGAAAUUCAAAACAAAAAUGCCUGUAUCUGAUGGGAAAGAUGAGCCCAAUGUUCUUUUUUAAAAAACCUUUAUUAUGAAAUAUUUCAACUGAACAUAUGCAGUUUAUAUUGUUAUAAAGCAUAACAAGCAAUCAAACAGCUGUGAACCCACCACUCCAUGUCAGAACUAGAACUUCCCAAAGCAGUCGGAGCUGAGGUGAGAUCCACUCUGAUGCCCUUCCCCAACUCCACGCCACCCCCCAAGACCUGACCAC